rnacentral:lncRNA from 12 species
GGAAGAGAGAGCAGGCAGCUUGAGCUGAGCUCAUUUUCGACAAGCAGAUGGAUGUUCAGUGGGGACCCAUGAAAACCCUCUCACUCCAGGCUGCAAGCCCUCCAAACUAAAGAGUUGUGCUGACAUGGAAAAAAGCAUCGCUUCAGUGAUGCUCAGCCUGAAUUGCUUCUUCCAUUCGAUCCAGGACACAACGACAGCCUGCUCCUGCCACCAGCUCCCUCGAGGAGCCAGCUGCAUGCCUGCAUCCAGGCGAGGAGGGAGCCAGAGCUGUUGAGCCAUGAGGAAGGCGACCGAUGGCAGAUUCCUCCAGCACUUCCACCCCUGGGGCUCUUGGCGAGCGAGCGCUCGUCUGCUUUGAAAGCUCUUAGUGCUCCUGCAGGUGCUCUUCCUCAGUUGUGGUGGCUCUUGGACCUACCAAAACCUGGCCGACCUGUUUCUGGUAUCCUGACACAGAAGUUGUUUUCAGCCCCAUACCUGACUCCCUGGGCUCCAGCACCAGCUGGAAAACCAAGGACUG